UUAGUUCUUGAGGGGACUGGUCAAUUUAUGGCUUAACUGCACCAUUAGUUGUAACUAAAAGCCAGGUACUAGCCAGGCUGUUAGUUGAUGGGCCCAGUACUACAAUUUUGGUACAUCCUCUACAGUUUACUUUCUCCUUAAGUUCAUAGAUCUUCCAAAGCCUUGCUGCUUCAGUACUGUCUUGAAGUACGCUAACCUGUGCCUAUGUGUGUGUGUAUGUGUGUGUGUGUGUGUGUGUGUGUGUGUGUGUGUGUGUGUUGCAGCUUUCCUAGUAUGAACAAUCAAGAAAUCAGACUGCUGUUGUGGAGACAGAUGUUCAAAUGUUUGUAUUUCCACAUUUUUCAAUGGCUUCCACUUAUUUUGCAGAAGGAAGUACCUGGAGAGCUUUGCUGGGUGGGUCCUACCUGAUCUAAAUAACUACACAAAUGAGAGUCAAAACAAAUGGUCAGAAGCAGCAGGCAGGAAAACAAGUUUACCUUGUUACUAUGAUGCCAGCACACCAACAAGCAUAUAACUUAACACUUUAAAGAAAUACAUGCAUGCUGGAGGGAGUCAAACUUUAAUAUUUUAUUAGUUUUGAAAUUGAGGUAUAUUGACGUGGAAAAACACUCAUUUUUAUGCUUCCUUUGAUGAGUUUUGACACACACACUCCUGACGUUUUCAGUCAUGGCCACAGAACAUCUCCAGUAUCCCACACCAAUUCCUGGCCUCUUCUAGGUUACUUUGCUCUCCACAGUCAAAACCCAUCAGAUUCUUAUCCUCACAUUAAUUAUAAUUUUUAGAAUGAGUUGAAUUGUUACUACUCUGCCCACACAUUGCCAUGAGUCUUCAGAUGCUGUGAAUAUAUUUUCCUGAGUAGAGUUGACUUCUCCAGACCCCAGAGUCUUUUCUUUUGAAACAGAGUCUCCGUAGUCCCAGCUGGACUCAAACUCAUGGUGAUCUUUCUGCCUCCGUCUUUCCAGUAUUGGACCUAAAAAUAUGGGUCUCAAACCAGAAGCUCAGUUAUUGUUUAAAAUUGGGGCUGCUUGUUAACACUGGUUUUGCUCACAACCGUGAUGACACAUGGCUAGAUAACUGGAGCUAUCUGAUCGGUUUGUUUGUUUUUUCGAGACAAGGUUUCUCUGUAUAGCCCUGGCUGUCCUGGAACUCACUCUGUAGACCAGGCUGGCCUCGAACUCAGAAAUCCGCCUGCCUCUGCCUCCCACGUGCUGGGAUCAAAGGCGUGCGCCACCACCGCCAGCUUAUCUGAUCAUUUUGGAACACCAAAAUACUUAAAAAUUAAUUGUAGAGGGAGGGGAGGGGAAACUUUGGUUUCGGGUGUAAUGUAUGAGAAAAGAAUAACAAAAUGAACUGUAGAAUAUAAUUUCAGUGGCAACUCAUAUUAUCUCAGUGUGCAGUAGACUUUGAAAUAUUCAGGGGAGCAGCACCCUCAGUUCUCAGAUGAGGAAAACGGUCGCCAAGCAGUCAUCCAGAAUCUAUUAGCCUUUGGUGCCAGGGCUGGGUUUUUCUUUUGCUUAAUCCACCAUCCUUAUAGAUAUGAACACCGAGUCUGUAAUUCCAAAAGUCAACUUUCUUGUUUCUCCUCUGAAAUUUCAUAGGUUACCCAUUCCUUCCAUCCUCCAGCAUAAUGUUGAGCACUGAAAAGAUACAUUAGUAAGUGUUGCUUCAUAACAGAAGAGCUUUGCAAUAGCCACUCAUAAAAAUUAUUUAGAUUCUACAUCUCUUUUAAAAAAACUUGUCUUUUGGUAUAGCAUUGGAAAUGUAAAUGAGCUAAAUACCUAAUUAAAAAUGGGGAAAAAAA
rnacentral:lncRNA from 1 species